GCCAGGCGUGGUGGUGGGUGCCUGUAAUCCCAGCUACGUGGGAGGCUGAGGCAGGAGAAUCGCUUGAGCCUGGGAGGUUGAGAUUGCAGUGAGCUGAGAUGGCGCCACUGCACUCCAGCCUGGGCGACAGAGUAAGACUCUGUCUCAA
rnacentral:SRP_RNA from 1 species